UACGAAGGGGGCUAGCGUUGCUCGGAAUCACUGGGCGUAAAGCGCACGUAGGCGGGUCUGUAAGUCAGGGGUGAAAUCCUGGAGCUUAACUCCGAAACUGCAUUCGAUACUGCGGUGCUUGAGGACUGGAGAGGAGACUGGAAUUCAUGGUGUAGCAGUGAAAUGCGUAGAGAUCAUGAGGAAGACCAGUGGCGAAGGCGGGUCUCUGGACAGUUCCUGACGCUGAGGCACGAAGGCCAGGGGAGCAAACGGG
rnacentral:rRNA from 1 species